AUGCAUGUAGAAGACGAGCAGACUGUGGCCAUAAAUGUGGCCAUAAAUGGGUAUACCCAUUUAUGGCCACAGUCUGCUCGUCUUCUACAUGCAU